rnacentral:rRNA from 1 species
CCUACGGGCGGCAGCAGUGGGGAAUUUUCCGCAAUGGGCGAAAGCCUGACGGAGCAAUACCGCGUGAGGGAGGAAGGCUCUUGGGUUGUAAACCUCUUUUCUCAGGGAAGAAAUCAAUGACGGUACCUGAGGAAUCAGCAUCGGCUAACUCCGUGCCAGCAGCCGCGGUAAUACGGAGGAUGCAAGCGUUAUCCGGAAUGAUUGGGCGUAAAGCGUCCGCAGGUGGCUGUGUAAGUCUGCUGUUAAAGAGUCUUGCUCAACUAGAUAAAAGCAGUGGAAACUACAUGGCUAGAGUGCGUUCGGGGCAGAGGGAAUUCCUGGUGUAGCGGUGAAAUGCGUAGAGAUCAGGAAGAACACCGGUGGCGAAAGCGCUCUGCUAGGCCGCAACUGACACUGAGGGACGAAAGCUAGGGGAGCGAAUGGGAUUAGAUACCCGAGUAGUC